GAUGAACGCUGGCGGCGUGCCUAAUACAUGCAAGUCGAGCGAACGGACGAGAAGCUUGCUCCUCUGAUGUUAGCGGCGGACGGGUGAGUAACACGUGGAUAACCUACCUAUAAGACUGGGAUAACUUCGGGAAACCGGAGCUAAUACCGGAUAAUAUUUUGAACCGCAUGGUUCAAUAGUGAAAGACGGUCUUGCUGUCACUUAUAGAUGGAUCCGCGCUGCAUUAGCUAGUUGGUAAGGUAACGGCUUACCAAGGCAACGAUGCAUAGCCGACCUGAGAGGGUGAUCGGCCACACUGGAACUGAGACACGGUCCAGACUCCUACGGGAGGCAGCAGUAGGGAAUCUUCCGCAAAGGGCGAAAGCCUGACGGAGCAACGCCGCGUGAGUGAUGAAGGUCUUCGGAUCGUAAAACUCUGUUAUUAGGGAAGAACAUAUGUGUAAGUAACUGUGCACAUCUUGACGGUACCUAAUCAGAAAGCCACGGCUAACUACGUG
rnacentral:rRNA from 1 species